rnacentral:rRNA from 1 species
GGAUUAGGCAUGCAAGCCGAGCGGGAUUCUAAUUCAAUCUUCGGAAGAGAAGUUAGAUGAGAGCGGCGAACGGGUUAGUAAUAAAUGGGUAAUUUACCUCUUUGUUCGGGAUAGCCUUCGGAAACGAAGAUUAAUACCGGAUGUGUNUCAGGUAGCUGCAUAGUACCUUAUAUAAAGGCGGGGAUUCUUCGGAACCUAGUCGCAAAGAGAUAGGCCCAUUUCCUAUCAGCUUGUUGGUGAGGUAAUAGGCUCACCAAGGCUUACGGGUAGUUAGGUCUAGAGAGGAUGAUCAGCAACACUGGGACUGAGACACUAGCCCAGACUCCUACGGGAGGCUAGCAGUCGAGAAUCAUUGUACAAUGCACGAAAGUAGUGAACAUGCGACGCCGCGUAGGAGGAAGACGGCCU